UACGAAGGGGGCUAGCGUUGCUCGGAAUUACUGGGCGUAAAGGGCGCGUAGGCGGCUCUGUUAGUCAGGCGUGAAGGCCCUGGGCUCAACCUGGGGACUGCGCUUGAUACUGGGGAUCUUGAGUUCGAGAGAGGUGAGUGGAACUGCGAGUGUAGAGGUGAAAUUCGUAGAUAUUCGCAAGAACACCAGUGGCGAAGGCGGCUCACUGGCUCGAUACUGACGCUGAGGUGCGAAAGCGUGGGGAGCAAACAGG
rnacentral:rRNA from 1 species